CCUGAUGCAGCAACGCCGCGUGAGGGACGACGGCCUUCGGGUUGUAAACCUCUUUUAGCAGGGAAGAAGCGAAAGUGACGGUACCUGCAGAAAAAGCACCGGCUAACUACGUGCCAGCAGCCGCGGUAAUACGUAGGGUGCAAGCGUUAUCCGGAAUUAUUGGGCGUAAAGAGCUCGUAGGCGGUUUGUCGCGUCUGCUGUGAAAUCUGGGGGCUCAACCCCCAGCCUGCAGUGGGUACGGGCAGACUAGAGUGCGGUAGGGGAGAUUGGAAUUCCUGGUGUAGCGGUGGAAUGCGCAGAUAUCAGGAGGAACACCGAUGGCGAAGGCAGAUCUCUGGGCCGUAACUGACGCUGAGGAGCGAAAGGGUGGGGAGCAAACAGGCUUAGAUACCCUGGUAGUCCACCCCGUAAACGUUGGGAACUAGUUGUGGGGUCCAUUCCACGGAUUCCGUGACGCAGCUAACGCAUUAAGUUCCCCGCCUGGGGAGUACGGCCGCAAGGCUAAAACUCAAAGGAAUUGACGGGGACCCGCACAAGCGGCGGAGCAUGCGGAUUAAUUCGAUGCAACGCGAAGAACCUUACCAAGGCUUGACAUAUACGAGAACGGGCCAGAAAUGGUCAACUCUUUGGACA
rnacentral:rRNA from 1 species